UUUGCUACAGGUCUUGAAGAUGAAGUGACAUACAGCACAGUGGUGUCCAAGAAUAGAGCAGCUCAGAAUGAACCUCCUGUAGACCCAGGUGAUGAUGCCACCUAUAGCUCCAUCGUAUUUCAGCAAAGAGAGGCAGGAGAGCCGUCCCAGCCUUGGCGCUUUGACCCUGGGGAUGAGGUCACCUACAGCUCCAUGGCUCCUCAGUGUUAGCAGCUGCCUGCUCCCUCCAGGACUCCCCCUGAACUGGCCUUUGGGGGUACGGGUGGGGGUAUCAGAGGGUCUCCUCAUCUCACUGCCCUCAGAGACGCUGCGAGUUGCAAGACGCCUGCCAGCUGCUAGGAUGACAUCAGUGGAGUAUCGCCUAU